CUUUUAGGUUGGAGACUACAUAAGACUUUGACAGUUGGCGGGAAACCAUCAUCAACUGGAGAGAUGCCGGUAGAGGAAUGUCUGCGACUAAGUCAUGGGCCACUGGAUAAGGGUUGUUGAUGGCAAAACAGGUUGGAGACUACAUAAGACUUUGACAGUUGGCGGGAAACCAUCAUCAACUGGAGAGAUGCCGGUAGAGGAAUGUCUGCGACUAAGUCAUGGGCCACUGGAUAAGGGUUGUUGAUGGCAAAACAGGUUGGAGACUACAUAAGACUUUGACAGUUGGCGGGAAACCAUCAUCAACUGGAGAGAUGCUGGUAAAAAGAUGGCCAAAAAACAGUGACCGCUGAUUCGCAUUGAGUUCUUUCUUACAUAUUGGAUGACCUAUGUUUUUUUUUGUUUAAAUCAUUGCGGCUUGGAAUGCUCUUUAAGAAAAGGUAGAGGAAUGUCUGCGACUAAGUCAUGGGCCACUGGAUAAGGGUUGUUGAUGGCAAAACAGGUUGGAGACUACAUAAGACUUUGACAGUUGGCGGGAAACCAUCAUCAACUGGAGAGAUGCCGGUAAAAAGAUGGCCAUAAAACAGUGACCGCUGA